GUCUAUAAUUGCAUAAUUCUUUUUGUUAAACAUUUCCGCUGCACUCACUUAUUUAAUUGACUGCAAGUUUUAGUAUUGGCAGAAGAGAGAUAUGCAUAUAAUUAAUACUCGAACACUCGCAUUUCAAGUUCCAAAAUUUCAUUCAAGAUCCUUUGCAUUCAUCUUAUUUUGCUUGGCUGUGGGGGGCAAUGGAAAUUGAGUUUCCAUGGAUGCACGUCGAAAUGUAAUUACGAACCAUACUUUAAACAUCUUUAUGCUGUUGUUCCUUGUUGUUCUAUUGUUGUUGCUAUCUCAUGGCAGUGGUUCUUCUUUGUGUGUGUGCUGCUGCUGAGAGAGUAUUCAUACCUUUGUGCUUGGCUGCCGAGUUGCCUGCCGACUUGCCAAGACCUGCACUUGGCUGCACUGCAAUUUGUGCAAUUACUCAAGUUUAACCCACGCACUCUCCAACAAAUAAUCAUAUGCAAAGACACAGGCAUUCAUGUGUAUGCGAGUGUGAGUGUGUGUGUGUGUGUUUGUGGCAAUUCAAUAUUGGCAAAAUGAAGGCACACUGACAGGUCCAUCUACUCGACCCUAACGUGGUCAACCCUUUGUGUUGGUUACGCUCUUAUGGUUUUUUGUCUAUAGGGAAUUACAAUUAUUUGCACGUUUACGUUGCAAGCCAUAAAUAUUUAGUCCGACCGUCUUUUAAUAGCAUUCAAUGUGGGGGCGUGGCAAUUGAAUCAUUGUCAUUCCCACGAAUAGCUUAAAUUACCAAAACAUGGGGUUCGUCACCCUUCUUCUAUUAUUUUUUAGAGCUCAAAUAAAAAUGACACACUCAAAAUAUUAUGUAAAUCAAUAGUGUAUGAAAUUGUUGUCAACCCUUUAAGCGAUUAAUUUAUUUGGCUAUAUACUAGAUAAAUAUGAGCACAUUUAAGCAGAGUUAAUAGAUAAAAAAGGUCAGCACUUGAGGCCAGACGACAGCAGCGAAUCGGACAAUUCAGUCGGCCGAACAUAAUGGCAACAGACGAACGGAGCACUUGACAGUGUGACAAUCUAAUUACAUGGCUGACGUGUUCAGAUGGACUCGCAAGCGAGUCCUCCCCGUGUCGCAAGUGACACCCAAACCCAACUCUCGACCUCGCCGCCGUCGCAUUGUGUUGUUGUCUGGCUUUGAUGUGUGCAGUGAAUUUGAAUAAAUGAAUUGAGCGCA